rnacentral:rRNA from 1 species
UGGAGCAAUCCAUGAGUAAAGUGGCGUACGGGUGAGUAACACGUGGGUAAUCUACCUCUUGGUGGGGAAUAACCCUGGGAAACCGGGGCUAAUACCGCAUAAGCUCGGAAGAGGAAGCCCGAAAGGGGCCGAGAGAGGAGCCCGCGGCCGAUUAGCUAGUUGGUGAGGUAAGAGCUCACCAAGGCGAUGAUCGGUAGCCGGCCUGAGAGGGCACACGGCCACACUGGCACUGAAACACGGGCCAGACUCCUACGGGAGGCAGCAGUGGGGAAUCUUGCACAAUGGGGGCAACCCUGAUGCAGCGACGCCGCGUGAGCGAUGAAGCCCUUCGGGGUGUAAAGCUCUUUCGGCCGGAACGAUAAUGACGGUACCGGCAGAAGAAGCUGCGGCUAACUACGUGCCAGCAGCCGCGGUAAUACGUAGGCAGCGAGCGUUGUUCGGAGUUACUGGGCGUAAAGAGUGCGUAGGCGGUGCUCUAAGUUUGGUGUGAAAUCUCCCGGCUCAACUGGGAGGGUGCGCCGAAAACUGGAGUGCUCGAGUAUGGGAGAGGUAAGCGGAAUUCCUGGUGUAGCGGUGAAAUGCGUAGAUAUCAGGAGGAACACCUGCGGUGUAGACGGCUUACUGGACCAUGACUGACGCUGAGGCACGAAAGCGUGGGGAGCAAACAGGAUUAGAUACCCUGGUAGUCCACGCCCUAAACGAUGCAUACUUGGUGUGAGCGAUUCAUUUCGUUCGUGCCGGAGCUAACGCGUUAAGUAUGCCGCCUGGGGAGUACGGUCGCAAGGCU